GCUAACAAGAAGAGAUUAAAACGUGUCUCUUAAUAUUCCCAAGGGACAGAAGGACCUAUGGGGACAGAAGGGGGCUGCAGGAAGCCGGCCAGAGCGUCACACAGUAAGGCUGGCCUUCGAGGAGAGGGAGGGCUGGCCCCAGCUCCCUUCCCCAGGCCUCACUGGGUGAGCCCUGCUGCGAAGGCUCCCCAGUCCCUGGCCGGCAGCCAGGCAAGCAGCAGCGGCCUCGCCAAGCUGCAUCCCGUGAUAGCCUGAGUGGCUGGCGAUGGAAAUACGCGCGCUUGGCGUUAUCUGCCUCCAGCAAGCAACAGACUUCUCCGUCCGUUAUGCGACAUGGACAAGAUUGAGCACCGCAAGAAAGAAAAUAAAAGAAUGCAUGAAUGAACAAGGUAGCCCCUUUAUCCUCCAGCUCUAUCAAGUGCCCAAGAUUAAUGACCAGCCUCAUUUCCUAGGGUUAAAAUCAUCCAGCCUGCCUCACAGCCCAGGACUGUGCACCUGUAGAGGAAUCGGAAUUCAUACACUGAUGUGGAGCAAUCACUAAGGCACAGUGCUGAGUUGGGAAAAAAACCAAGAGCAGAAUAAAGAAUAUAGUGCCAUUUGUUUUGUUUUGUUAAUAAGCAAGCAUGUGGGGGGACGUUUGUUUUAUUACAAAUAGUAUCUCCUUGGA
ensembl:lncRNA